GGCACAGCAAGACAAAACACAUGAAGGGCCAGGCUGAGAUUCUAAGAUUCCAUGUCCCUCUCGUUGCAGUGAAAGGUGGGUCCCACCCUCUAACACGCCACAUGGAAUAUGGAGGUCAAUGCCUUUCUCCUGUGCUCAGAGCAGGAUACCCUGAGGAGGUGUGAUGGGCCACUGAAGAGGCAACACAGGGCCUGGGAGAGACGAGGUUAGAGCCCUGGGGCCUCCCACUCUAGAGAUCUUGGACUCACUGAGAGCUGUCCCACCUACUCUGCUCAGAAUGUCUCUCUUCCUGGCACCAAACAGUCUAACUAUUCCACGAGCUGUUCUCUUGCUAGAGGCUUCUUAAAUGGUAUCAAGCUAACAAUAAUGCCUCUUAAAGGGAGAAUCCAAACACUCCCCCACAGGCCAUCACACAGGCUGUGGAAAAGCCUUAUGCUUUAAAUGUAGUAUUUUCUAGGGCACUUGUACCCUAAAAAGCUCUAAUGUUUCUUAGGUAAGUAAUGCUAACAGAGUUAUCUCCACAUUUCCUAAGGUCUACAGGUCUGAUGAGGCUGAAUAACUAACAGAAGGUGUUUUCUCUUCUUUAUUUUUCCUAAUAGGAUAACUUUUCCCCAUACACAUCUAUAUAUGCUCUCACUCAAGGGCAACUGAUUUAAUGGAUUAUGAUGAUGGAUAACGAGGUCUCUUAAUUGUUUUCUGAGGAUUAUUGUAGCUGUGAAAAUCAAGCCAUAUACACAUACAUUCAAACAGCUGUUAUAAAACAUUUAAUUGCUCUUUAAUUUAGAAAUGAUUUCUGGUUUUGAGAACUAUCUUUGCUCAUCAUUUUCUUUGCAUAUUCAAAGACCUUAUCAGUCUAUUUAUAACUAUUUUGAUUGGUUUGCUUUCCAUGGUACUUUGAAAAAUGUCAUUCAUAACUGGUUAGAUUUGUGUUCAUACUGAAACACCAUCCAGGUGAUUUCAACCAAUGUAAUGUUUAAUUACCCAAUUUUAAUUCAAUCUAAUUUUAAAAAAUGGAUGAAACAAGUCUAAAUGUGGCAUGUAAGAUCUCAGAAUAUCACCUUUCCUAGGCACUCAACUCUGGGCAUUUCUAGAAGAAUUCAUCCCUAGGCCCAUCCCUGUCAGUCUUUGCUUUUUAUUUUAAAUAAUGAUGAGUCUCAGAAGAAAGAAACUCUGAGUAUUAGGAUACAGCUUCUACAUUCCCUUUACAUCAGUGAUAAAAUUAUUAUUCCAUAAUAGUCCUAAGAUGACAAGGUAAAGUUUCUUCUCUGAUGUUUAACAACCCCAAGGGUAGUUAUUGAGCCUUGUCUGUGUUUAGUUUCAAUAAACUCACAAUAUAUGAUAUAUGUACAGAAAACCCUAUAUCACCCUUAGUUCAACUGGUUCUAUUACAAGGAAACACCCCAAGACAGGUGAUAUUAACUAUGCAGCCAUAUUUCUAUGUAAUCCCAUUUAACUUGUAAGCUUAUUCAACUAUUAUUUACUCAGCAUCUACCAUGUGACAGAAUUAGGGAUACAACAUAAUCCUUUCCACAGCCUCCUGCAUUUUAGAAAUUCCCAGAAAAGGUAAAAGAAAAGCAAGUAAUUAUAAUACAACUUGGGAAACAACAGUAUAUACGACAAGAGCAUCAGUAAAGGGAAAGGUUGGUUAUGUAUGGAGAGUCACACAAAGGAACAGCCGAGUAGCCAACAGAGCAGGGAAGGCGGAAACAGUGAGGUUCUCCUGGCAAAUGCUCCCUGUAAACAGGAAAGAGCAUGUAUCAGGUCGGUGAGAAGCAACAAGGUAUCUCAAGUUCAGGAACUGCAAGAGAUUCAUAUUCUAAAGCCUAUGAGGAUCAGCAGGCUUUGAAGCUGGAAUGACUCCUGUGCAAGGUGAAAAACACAGAGAAAACUAUUACUAUCUCUAGUGCCUUCUGGCAUCAGUCUAUAUUGCAGACAUUCAGAUUGCCCCUUGGAUGAAGCUCAACUCACUUUUUUUGCCUUCACUAGGAUACAUGGCACAUGUGCUAUUAUAUUGGAGAAACAGCCACAAAACUAUUCAAAGGGGAAAAGUAAAGCUCAGCACAUCUGGCAAACAAACUAUGUAUAUAUUGAUUAUAUAUAAAAGAUAUUUUUCAUACCAAAUUGAAUUUCAUUGAUAUCAAAUCCAAUGAGCUAAAAGCUUCUGUGGCAUACAUAAAAAUGUCCAUCAAAUCAGCUCCAAAACAAAAUGUGUGGUUUGUAAUAGGGACUGGGACUCUGUAUGGUUCUAAACCAUUGACUGUAGGUGCUCCUUGCAACAGGUGAGGUUAGUGAGUGAUGAUUAGAACACGUGAGCCCCCAAGCCUGCUGCUUCCAGCACUUUAGUCACGAGGCAUCCCCACUGACUGGGGACCCUGGCACCAGAACCAUCAACAAUGAACCCUAGUGCUGGCCACGGCCUCCAGAUGCUUCCUGAUGGCGGUGCCUAGGGCAUCAAUGGAAUGUUCCCGCGAGAUUCAGGAGGAGGUCAUACAACAGUAAGCAGAGUGAGACAGUCGCUAGAAGCCUCUACACAGAGCAACAGAGGCCCCAGGAGGCAGAGAGGAGCCCAGCACAAGGCCGGGGUGCAUCUGGAGCUAUCCCUGCACCUCUGAACAGCUGCCAGCACCCCCGGGAUCUGAACCUACUGAGCACUCCUAAGACGGAAUGCUGAAAGGGGGCUAAGAAGGAAACUGGGGAGAGGAGUUAUCCAAUGUCAUGUUGAUGAGUAACACAGAAAUAACCAUGCUGAAAGGAAAGAAUCUCUAGAGAAGCUGCCAGGCUUACCCUCUUCCCUUCAGGUUGUAAGGUCAGAUCUGUGGACUGAAGGAACUACCAAAAAUACAUCUUUUGGAAACAUCACAAAAGGCUAUAUGGGGAGCAGACUGUCCUAAGAGAAAAAUUAUUGCAUGGAGAGCAGAGAACCUCAUGUCUCUAUCUUGUUUUCUCACUGAAUCACCCCAAGUCCUUGCCAGCAAGUACCUAGAACAGAAUCCCCAACCCCAACCAAAGAUACCUUGGAAGCAGAUACAGGAGAGGAAAUAGCCAGAAGGGUUUCCCCUGUUCUCCGCAAGGAAUGGCUGGCUCUGAGUGAGUGUUCAGCUAACAACCCAGGUAAUGCUGAAAGCUGCUUCCUUCGAGGAGUCCGGAGCUUUAGUACUUUCCAGGUAGAAGGGGCCGACCUGACCAGCCUCGAUAUGAAUGAACCCUGAGUACUGAGUCUACUGAGCUCCCAUCA